UUUUAAAUAAUUGCCUGCAUCUUUGACUUCCGUCGCAUAUAUUCUGCCUCACACGUCUUACUUUCAAUAGCUGCGCGCGACACGUGUUGGAUCUCUUUGCAGUCGGGGCUCUGAAAGAUCUGCACGUUAGGUCCUCGAUAUUGGAGUUGAAGUCAGUAUGCUCUGGAUCUCCUGUUUAAAACGGCCCCUCCCAACGGGGUCAACAUGGCUGAUGCAUGGUCAGUGUAUCAGUUUUGCGGGAUGUCUUUCACCGCAUACACGAAGUACCACCUGGAAAGACAUGCCAUGUUGAGUCGGCUCCAUGGCAACCAGAUGGAGUCCAAUGGCCAUCAGAUCUUAAUCUGUGUGAGAUUAUGCUUGAAUACUCAUGGAAUCAUCUAGAUGGCCCUGCUUUACAUCUAGCAAGAAUAAUCACUGUACUGAUGGAGUGACCAUUUCCUUUAAGAUGAAGCAUGCCAACGGCACAUUUCUAUUGGCUGCUUUGCGCUGAGGUGAUCGUUCAGUUCUGAGUGCUCAACUGUCAUCUAGAAAUGGAGACGUCACUCCUGAUGUGAUGAAAUGAUCUUUGAGGUUUGGUUCUGAGUGCUCAACUGUUUCAUCUAGAAAUGGAGAUGUCACUCCUGAUGUGAUGGAACAAUCAUUGGGUGCAUCGGUUUUGCGGGUUGUCAUCACCGCAUAAACAAAGUACCACCUGGAAAGACAUGCCAUGUUGAGUCGGCUCCAUGGCAACCAGAUGGAGUCCAAUGGCCAUCAGAUCUUAAUCUGUGAGAUUAUGCUUGAAUACUCCUGGGAUCAUCUGGGUGGCCCUGCUUUACAUCUUGGUAGCACGAAUAAUGGAGAUAUUAUCACUGUACUGAUGGAGUGACCAUUUCCGUUAAGAUGAAGCAUGGCAACGGCACAUUUCUAUUGGCUGCUGUGCGCUGAGGUGAUCGUUCAGGGUCAGUUCUGAGUGCUCAACUGUCAUCUAGAAAUGGAGACGUCACUCCUGAUGUGAUGGAACGAUCAUUAGGAUUAUGCUUGAAUACUCAUGGAAUCAUCUAUAUGGCCCUGCUUUACAUCUUGGUAGCAAGAAAAAUUAAUGUACUGAUGGAGUGACCAUUUCCGUUAAGAUGAAGCAUGCCAACGGCACAUUUCUAUUGGCUGCUUUGUGCUGAGUUCUGAGUGCUCAACUGUUUCAUCGAGAAAUGGAGAUGUCACUCCUGAUGUGAUGGAACGAUUAUUGGGAUUAUGCUUGAAUACUCAUGGAAUCAUCUAUAUGGCCCUGCUUUACAUCUUGGUAGCAAGAAAAAUUAAUGUACUGAUGGAGUGACCAUUUCCGUUAAGAUGAAGCAUGCCAACGGCACAUUUCUAUUGGCUGCUUUGCGCUGAGUUCUGAGUGCUCAACUGUUUCAUCUAGAAAUGGAGACGUCACUCCUGAUGUGAUGGAAUGAUUAUUGGGGUGAUCGUUCAGGGUCAGUUCUGAGUGCUCAACUGUCAUCUAGAAAUGGAGACGUCACUCCUGAUGUGAUGGAACGAUCAUUAGGAUUAUGCUUGAAUCUGGAUGGCCCUGCUUUACAUCUUGGUAGCAAGGAUAAUCACUGUACUGAUGGAGUGACCAUUUCCGUUAAGAUGAAGCAUGGCAACGGCACAUUUCUAUUGGCUGCUUUGCGCUGAGAUUAUGCUUGAAUACUCCUGGAGUCGUCUGGAUGGCCCUGCUUUACAUCUUGGUAGCAAGAAUAAUGGAGAUAUUAUCACUGUACUGAUGGAGUGACCAUUUCCUUUCAGAUGAAGCAUGGCAACGGCACAUUUCUAUUGGCUGCUUUGUGCUGAGGUGAUCGUUCAGUUCUGAGUGCUCAACUGUCAUCUAGAAAUGGAGACGUCACUCCUGAUGUGAUGAAAUGAUCUUUGAGGUGACUGAUCAGUUCUGGUUUUACAAUUCAGAGAAGUGACAUUUAACAGAAUGAACUCAACAUUAUGCUUGAAUACUCCUGGAAUCUGGAUGGCCCUGCUUUACAUCUUGGUAGCAAGAAUAAUCACUGUACUGAUGAAGUGACCAUUUCCGUUAAGAUGAAGCAUGGCAACGGCACAUUUCUAUUGGCUGCUUUGCGCAGAGGUGAUUGUUCAGGUUCGGUUCUGAGAGCUCAACUGUCAUCUAGAAAUGGAGACGUCACUCCUGAUGUGAUGACAUGAUCUUUGAGGUGAGUUCAGUUAUUCCAGUGAUGACCGCUUUAAGUGCAGCUUCGCUGUGAUGAAGAUGAUUUCCUGCCAUUCGUAGUUUCCACCAGAGGUUGAAAGACCAAAGAUGGCCCAAAUACCUUCCUUGGAUGUCUGAGCGAAGUUUAAAUAUGUAAAUUUGAGUUUGUUUUGUAAAUUUUAAUUGAGUUAACUUUUGGUUUUGUGAUUUCA